GAUCUAUGCAAGUAAAUGAAUGAUAGAUGAUGGGGUGCUUUGAGAUAUGUGCGUGUGGAUAAAUGAUAGGAAGGAAUGCUUUAAGAUUUAUGUAGGUGGAUGGAUGAGAAAGGAUGGUGCGCUUUGAUAUCUAUGUAGGUGGAUGGAUGGAUGAAGGAUAAAGCACUUCAAGAUAUGUGCAAGCAAAUGAAUGAUAGAGGAUAUAGUGCUUUAAGAAUUGUGCAAGUGGAUGGACGAUAGGGAUGAAGCACUUUGUAGUUUGUGCAGA
rnacentral:lncRNA from 1 species